GAGGAAUAUUGCACAAUGGGCGAAAGCCUGAUGCAGCGACGCCGCGUGGGUGAAGAAGGCCUUCGGGUUGUAAAACCCUUUUUUGGGGAAGAGAGAGGACGGUACCCCGAGAAUAAGGUUCGGCUAACUACGU
rnacentral:rRNA from 1 species